rnacentral:tRNA from 1 species
GGCCCCGAGGUGUAAACACGUAGGAUUGCAAAUCCUAAGACGCAGAUGAGACCUGCCGGGGCCU